GGCCGCGGGAAUUCGAUUUUGGAGGGCAAGUCUGGUGCCAGCAGCCGCGGUAAUUCCAGCUCCAAUAGCGUAUAUUAAUGUUGUUGUGGUUAAAAAGCUCGUAGUUGAACCUUGGGCCUGGCUGGCCGGUCCGCCUCACCGCGUGUACUGGUCCGGCCGGGCCUUUCCCUCUGUGGAACCCCAUGCCCUUCACUGGGUGUGGCGGGGAAACAGGACUUUUACUUUGAAAAAAUUAGAGUGCUCCAGGCAGGCCUAUGCUCGAAUACAUUAGCAUGGAAUAAUAGAAUAGGACGUGUGGUUCUAUUUUGUUGGUUUCUAGGACCGCCGUAAUGAUUAAUAGGGACAGUCGGGGGCAUCAGUAUUCAAUUGUCAGAGGAGAAAUUCUUGGAUUUAUUGAAGACUAACUACUGCGAAAGCAUUUGCCAAGGAUGUUUUCAUUAAUCAGGAACGAAAGUUAGGGGAUCGAAGACGAUCAGAUACCGUCGUAGUCUUAACCAUAAACUAUGCCGACUAGGGAUCGG
rnacentral:rRNA from 1 species